rnacentral:rRNA from 1 species
CCUACGGGUGGCUGCAGUGGGGAAUAUUGGACAAUGGGGGCAACCCUGAUCCAGCCAUGCCGCGUGUGUGAAGAAGGCCCUCGGGUUGUAAAGCACUUUCAGUGAGGAAGAACGCCUGGUGGUGAAUACCCAUCAGGAAAGACAUCACUCACAGAAGAAGCACCGGCUAACUCCGUGCCAGCAGCCGCGGUAAUACGGAGGGUGCGAGCGUUAAUCGGAAUUACUGGGCGUAAAGCGCGCGUAGGUGGCUUGAUAAGCCGGUUGUGAAAGCCCCGGGCUCAACCUGGGAACGGCAUCCGGAACUGUCAAGCUAGAGUGCAGGAGAGGAAGGUAGAAUUCCCGGUGUAGCGGUGAAAUGCGUAGAGAUCGGGAGGAAUACCAGUGGCGAAGGCGGCCUUCUGGACUGACACUGACACUGAGGUGCGAAAGCGUGGGUAGCAAACAGGAUUAGAUACCCUAGUAGUC